rnacentral:rRNA from 1 species
CAGUAGCCGCGGUAAUACGUAGGUGGCAAGCGUUGUCCGGAAUUAUUGGGCGUAAAGGGCUCGCAGGCGGUUUCUUAAGUCUGAUGUGAAAGCCCCCGGCUCAACCGGGGAGGGUCAUUGGAAACUGGGAAACUUGAGUGCAGAAGAGGAGAGUGGAAUUCCACGUGUAGCGGUGAAAUGCGUAGAGAUGUGGAGGAACACCAGUGGCGGAGGCGACUCUCUGGUCUGUAACUGACGCUGAGGAGCGAAAGCGUGGGGAGCGAACAGGAUUAGAUACCCGAGUAGUCCCUGUCUCUUAUAC